rnacentral:lncRNA from 10 species
CUAUGCAUGUGAAAGUGGAAAGAAGGACAUGGAGAUUUUCAAAGGCACCUGGCAAGGACUGGGGGGGCUUGGAAAAUGAUCAGAAAUAAAGGAAUCUGGAGUUUCACCCCAGAAGGGACUCAUGGGAGAGGAAUUCGUGUGGGUGCUUGGAGCCAUCAUCCAGGAAAGAGAACAACACAAGUGAGCGGGCCUGGAAAAUCACAGCCAGACUUAAAGCAAAAAAGAAUUGUUAUACAAUUUUAGGGAAGUCAGCAUUUAAUUUGCAAGGUACGAGACCCCUGUAUGAGACUGUGCACAGCCGUAGCCCUGGAUUGAGAGGUGUGACAGCUGGAAGGCCACCGCCCCAUCCCAGCCUUGGUGUCCUGCCCGGCUGGCCUCAGACAAAUGCCAACAUUGUCAGGCCUUGGGAUAAACCCUGAUUUUUUUCUUCCUCUAAUAUGAAAAUCUAAUUUGGCAAAAAGAACAUUGGAAAGGGUUCAGUAGCCUCGACCCUGAUGUGCUCUGCUUUCCCAUCCAUCCUGAGAGUUAUUUGUGAAGAUCAAAUAAGAUGAAGAAACUGAGGCCUAGAGAAGUAGAGUAACUUGCCCAAGGCCACAGGCCUUGCAAAUAAAGGAGCUGAUGGAAGAGGUCUGCCUGAAAGGAGGAACGUGAGGCCCAGAGAUCCUUCUUGAGUUACCCAACGUCCUGCAGCCCGCAAUAGAGAAGCAGACUAGAGGCAACAUUACCGGAAUCUCUCUCUCCCAUCCCCCAUCCCAGACCCAGAUCCUUCUACUGCAGACACCUGCUGUUCUUUUAUUGAUGGCAUGGCUAGUGCUCAGUCAUCUGGUCACCACAACUCUACUGAGCCCCUCCCCUGGGUGCUGGACUGGCUCUAACACUGUGCGAACAGACAGAGGAAGGCUCAUGCUUGUGGAGCCAACGUUCUAAGUUGGGGAAGAGUCAAUGUAUGAAUUUUAAAAACAGUAAAACAAGAUCAUUUCAGAGAACGGAAGACAACAGCAAGCACGGGCCACCUGUGACCACGUGGACCCUAGGACCCAAGAGCAUGGCCCUGGAGCUGCCUGGCCCUACUGGCCUAGACUGGGCCUCGGCCACGCGCUCCUCACCUUCACAGUGGCAUUGCAGUACCGGGCACAGCCGCUCUUCAGGCUCCCAAACCUGCCACUGUAGACACAUCUGUGUGUGAAGAGUGCCUGGAGAAAGCCAAGGAGGGAAAGCAUGGCAGUCAGCAUGUUUAGGUCCUCCAGGCACUGCACACCCUCUGCAGACACUUGCCAUUGUACUUCCAUUUCACCACUGACGUCAGGAGAGAGUGCUGGACCACACUAGCAGACCUGGGUCUACAUCAGAGCUUGGACACCCUUUUUUAGGCCUGUUCCCUUGUUGGUGGAAUACAGGCCAGAGUUUGCAUCAUCCAUGGCCCACAGAUCUUUAUUCCCUCUUCCAUGCCACAGCAGAUGUCUCUAAGCAGAAAAUAUUUUCUGUUCAUUCUGGAUACGGUCUAGUCUCCCCUUCCGAUCUAUAGCCAUCCCUAAGAUCUCCUACAGAGACAUUUUGGAGCCCCCAAAGGGUCUAUCUACACUUCAUUGAAAGGUUUGCCAAACAAAAUUGUGAUAGUCUGAGUUUUUCUCUUAGGAGUGGGGCAGAUUUAUAUGCAUCCUUCCAUUCUAACCAACAAUGCCCACUCAUAAUUAUCUAGAACUCAUGUUUACUGAGAACAUUUUAUGGGCCAGACACAUUGCACAGAUGAGUUCAUCAAUCUUCAAUUCUAUGUGGAUGUUUCUCAUGCCAUUUUUUAUAGAUAAGGAAACAGGCCCAGACAGGUUAAAUCAUUUUUUCCAAGAAACACUGAUAGUAAGUAUAAGGUCUAGAGAAUGGGUCUUAUCACGUACAGACUUUAGGAUCACAGUCAUGUAGCCUCUGUGGGCCUCAGCUGCCUAAUUUAUAAAAUAUCAAGAAAAUAUUGAUGAGACAAUAAUGCUGAUUUCAAGUUUUGUCACGAGAAUUUAGUCUCUGGUUCAAAUUUUGUUUUAGAUAAUUGUUGAUGUCAAGCUUAUCCCUUCAUCUUAGGCUGUUGCUCAAGAAGAGGGCAAUGAGACUUUCCUAGGCUAUAAAAUCCUAAAAUAUUAGCUAUAUGAAGGAAUUCUGAGGUCACUGAGGAAGGAGCACUACAGUCCUUUUGGGAAUCUCAGGAUAAUUAACCAGGUGUGGGUCACAGGAUUCCCGGGAUGGGUGAUUUGAGGGCUUCUUUUGGCUCCUACCCAUGUGUCUAAUUUCCCUUUCUUUUCCCUCUUCCUUCUCUUUCCCUGGGCUGAGACAAUCAUAGAAUGGUGAUUAAACAUGUAGAACAAAUCAUGGUUCUGCCACAUCAGCUGUGUGACCUUGUACAAGGUGGUUUACGUUUCCUUGCCUUAGUGCCCUAAUCAUACAUUGGUUAUGGUGAUAAUAUACCCACCUCGUGGGGCUGCUGCAUAAAGCAUUUAGAACAAUGUCUGGCACACAGCAAUCACUGUGACACCAGCCAACACAAUUUCCUCUUCUCCUCCCUCUCACAUUCCCUGCUUGACAGCAUCCUGAAGGACUCAGGGGUAAUGCCUUUGUUAAGCAAAAUAAAUAUCUGAACACCUGCAUCUAUUUAAUUUUAAUGUUUUGCUUUACUAAAUACUUCACAAUAGAAUCACAUUAAAGAGCUCAUAACCUUACCUAAUGAUCUAUUCUAGUGUUUAAUGCCACUUCUCAUUGGUAAGUUCUUUCUUAUGAUAAACUUAUAGGCAAAAAUUUCUAUCAUCAUUUUUGCCUUAGAACACUUUGCUUUUUACCACCAAUAGAGUCCUUGGCAUAUGAAUGAUAGAUCAUUGCACAACUGUUUUCCUUUUUAGAUGGAGCUUCUCAGAUAAAAGCAAAAUGAAAUGAUUUCUUAUUCAUCCUCAUGCCUCUGGAAGCAAGCACUAUGUCUGAUAUAUGCUCAAUCCUCAAUAAAUGUGUACAGAAUUCAAUUAAACUUGGAAGCUUUUGAUAGUCCCAGUA